rnacentral:rRNA from 1 species
GACGAACGCUGGCUGCGUGCCUAAUACAUGCACUUAGGACGCAGUUGCGAACGGGAGAGCAACGCGAAGGUAACUACCUAUUAGAGGGGGAUAACUAUUGGAAACGAUAGCUAAUCCCGCCUCCUCGUAGAUGGACCUGCGUUGUAUUAGCGAGUAGGUUGGGUAAAGGCCUACCUAGGCAACGAUACAUAGCCGACCGGAGAGGGUGAUCGGCCACACUGGGACUGAUGCACGGCCCAGACUCCUACGGGAGGCAGCAGUAGGGAAUCUUCGGCAAUGGGGGGAACCCUGACCGAGCAACGCCGCGUGAGUGAAGAAGGUUUUCGGAUCGUAAAGCUCUGUUGUUAAGGAAGCGGUACUUAACCAGAAAGGGACGGCUAACUCCGUGCCAGCAGCCGCGGUAAUUC